CCUACGGGAGGCAGCAGUGGGGGAUAUUGCACAAUGGGGGGAACCCUGAUGCAGCGACGCCGCGUGGGUGAAGAAGCGCCUCGGCGCGUAAAGCCCUGUCAGCAGGGAAGAAAAUGACGGUACCUGAAGAAGAAGCCCCGGCUAACUACGUGCCAGCAGCCGCGGUAAUACGUAGGGGGCAAGCGUUAUCCGGAUUUACUGGGUGUAAAGGGGGCGCAGACGGCGAUGCAAGCCAGGAGUGAAAGGCCGGGGCCCAACCCCGGGACUGCGCGUGGAACUGCGUGGCUGGAGUGCAGGAGGGGCAGGCGGAAGUCCUGGUGUAGCGGUGAAAUGCGUAGAUAUCAGGAGGAACACCGGUUGCGAAGGCGGCCUGCUGGACUGCAACUGACGUUGAGGCCCGAAAGCGUGGGGAGCGAACAGGAUUAGAUACCCUUGUAGUC
rnacentral:rRNA from 1 species